rnacentral:rRNA from 1 species
CAUUAAAGAAUCGCCCCGUUUUUUGAAAUGGGUUCUAUUCCCAAACCGUGUAUACAUUCCUUUGUUGCUUUGGCAGGCCGCCUUUUAGGCGUUGGCUCCGGCUGACUGCGCCUGCCAGAGGACCCAAACUCUUUUGUUUAGUGAUGUCUGAGUACUAUAUAAUAGUUAAAACUUUCAACAACGGAUCUCUUGGUUCUGGCAUCGAUGAAGAACGCAGCGAAAUGCGAUAAGUAAUGUGAAUUGCAGAAUUCAGUGAAUCAUCGAAUCUUUGAACGCACAUUGCGCCCCUUGGUAUUCCGAGGGGCAUGCCUGUUCGAGCGUCAUUAUAACCACUCAAGCCCUCGGCUUGGUCUUGGGGUUCGCGGUUUCGCGGCCCUUAAAAUCAGUGGCGGUGCCGUCUGGCUCUAAGCGUAGUAAUCCUCUCGCUAUAGGGUCCAGGUAACCACCUGCCAGAACCCCCCAUUCUUUAUGGUUG